UGUAGUGUUUGAAGAAAAUCCUUUUUUUUCCCAGAACCUUCGUGUAUGCAAAAGCCGUAUCUGUAAGAUGUAAAGUGUAAGGAAUAAGAUGCCCGACGGAAGAAUAGAGCAAAUGGAGCCAAAGUUUACCCUGGAGCAGUUUAACCUGCUGACACGUCUGGUGUCCAUUGGUGAGAGACUUCAGCAGGCCGGCCUGCCGCGGGACAACAUGUUCAAACCAUCCGCAUGAUGCAGCAGAGCUGUAAUUUAGGGUACAUUUGUCAUUAUGUCUUAGAAAUUCUAGUCUAUGUUCAGAUUAAAGGUUAUUACCCAUUACUGGUAUUUUAAA